rnacentral:tRNA from 1 species
AGGUUCUUAGUUCAGUCGGUAGAAUACCGGAUUCCAAAUCCGAAGACGUGGGUUCGAUUCCUACAGAGCCUGCCA